rnacentral:RNase_P_RNA from 1 species
GGAGUGAGCUGUCCUACCGCUGCGGUAAUUUUGCCGGAGAGGAAAGUCCGGGCAGCGCAGAGUACCGUACUUCCUAACAGGAAGGCAGCAGAUUGGGAACGGUUUGUUGACAGCCAGUGCCACAGAAAUAAUACCGCCUUGGCAUGUUUUUUAUAAUGUUGGGGUAAGGGUGAAAUGGUGGAUUAAGAGCCCACCGCCUGACUGGUGACAGUCGGGGCACGGUAAACCUUACGGGCUGAAAGAUCAAAUAGGUGUCGGUUUGUGGGGCUGCUCGUCCCCGUUCUCAGGAACGUCGGCACGGGUAGAUCGUUAGAGGUUCAGGGUGACCUGAAUCCUGGAUAAAUGGUAGGAGUUCCAGGCAGUUAAACCGCAUGGAGAACAGAAUCCGGCUUACAGGCUUACCCUUUUU